ACCCCAUUUCUAUCCAUGCAUUAAAGUCAUAUUGUCAUUUAUGAAGUUUAACUUGCAAGUUACUCCAAGGCCUAGAAAAAGAAUUGAAACAUAAGACCCUGUGGAGUUUCAUUCUCUUUCCCAAAGAUGAUUCGUGUCCAUCAACAACUUCUAGUGUCACUGAUCAUAAGGGUUUGUUGAUUCACCUGCUUACUCUUUGGGGGGUAAAUGAGUUACCUUUCUACAGCCCUCUGUCUCUUCUCUCUUGUGAACUUCCAAAGGAUUGGAGGUGCAACAAACACUUUUCUGGGCCCUGUGAGGUGAGUUUCCAUUUUGUCAUCACUCAUUCAAGUUUCAACAUGGACAUGAACCCGAAUAUAGGAAACCAGAACAUAGAUUGAUGGUUAUAGAGACAUCAGAAAACAGAAAACACAGUUCUUGUUCUUUCUGUUGUAUCCAGGAAGGAAGAUUUGCUCCCAAAAUCAUUUCUUAUCAGAAAGUAAAUAACCAACUAAAUGGAAAACUGGUCUCGGGUGGCAUCAUUCUAUAGUGGAAGAUUAGCAUCCCGGAAUUCCAGGAUCUGAACUACAACUCUGUGUGAUCUUAACAAAUCCUUUAAUCCUUCUGAUCUUAGUGUUCUCAUCUGUAAAAUUAUAGGAUUCAAUGAAAUGGUCGCUUUCUAAAGCCAAGACCCAUCCAGUCAUUUUUAGGUUUAAUUGGACUGAGCAAAGCUAAAAUACUGAUUUCUGAUCAGACUCAUUAUAAGAGAAAAACUCCUCCUUUAAAAAAAAUAGAUUAAGAAAAAUAAACUGUUAGCUCUGGAGACGUGCUGUCACUUUGCUUUUUAUACGUAGUCCAUGGUGGACUUUAGAAUCAGAAUGGUGAGUAUAAUCUUAACCCUGAAUUUAAACAUGGAUUUAAAGCACCUAGCACAUGGUCAGAUCCAAGCAAAUGUUAUUACCCUCUAUACAACCUUCCCAGGGUUUUUGGUGUCCUCCUGAAACUGAAAAACGGAAAACUGAUCAAAUAUCUGCUUCCAGAAACACAUCUCACCCAUGCAAUGCCAACAAUGGCAAAAGAAAUCCCAAUUUUUAUGCAGAUGUUGCAGACACUCAUUGCUUCUGUGCCUACUGGCACAGAAACUGAGAUCUGAUACUUAGGGCUUCAUUUUUCCUUUGUACAAGAUGAACAUUGGGUCUUUUCCUUAGACAUAGCUAAAUUGAUUUGUCUCCAGAUGACACACAUGAUAAAAAGAAAAACAAUUUAAGUGAGGGGAGUUUCAUUUUAUCUUAGGGGUAGUCUUAAAGCACUUCUUUCUGCUCAAAACUUCAUUUCCCUAAUAGUAGGAGAGUAAUGUGGAAUGUGAAAAGAUGGCUCAAAAUUAAAAACUGAGCCCUUUUUGCCCCACCUUAAGAAAGAACACAGAGAGAAUAAAUACGAUAGGGGUUUGGGGGUUUUUGGAGGUUUUUUUAAGAGGUAGAUUGAGGAUUCUUUUUUUUCUUCUUUUUCUUUUACUUUUAUUGAAGUAUAGUUAAUCUACAAAUGUGUUAGUUUCAAGUGUACAGCAACAGGGUUUUCUGAGAGCUACCGCAUUGCAGUAAUAAGAUAGUUCAAUAUCUGAAUCUUUACACUAAAAAUUUCAGUGCAAUCUGUUGACUAGGGUAACAAAUCGCAAAGCUCUAGUGCCAGAUUCUAAAAAGCCUUCCAUUCCCAGACUUAGAUUCAGGGCAAAGACUCAUUAUGCUAAAGAAAUCAGUAUCUAAAUAAAUAAUAUCAUUUGUUUUAUUUAUUUUUUACAGCUGCGCCUAUGGCGUAUGGAAAUUCCUGGGCUAGAGGUCGGAUUGAAGCUGCAGCUGCCACUCUAUGCCAUGGCCCCAGCUAUAGCAACACUGGAUCUGAGCCAUAUCUGAAACCUACACUGCAGCUUUCAGCAACGUCCGAUCCUUAACCCACUGAGGGAGGCCAGGGACUGAACCCACAUCCUCAAAGACACUAUGUCAGGUUCUUAACCCACUAAGCCACAACAGGAACUCCAAACAAUACAAUUUUAAUAAGACAAGAGGCCAAAAGAAAAGAAAGCAGCCUCCUGGUACACUGAACACAUAGCCCCAGACCAGACGAGAUCAUUUACAAGAGUGGUAAAAGUCCAUGUUCUGCCCACAAGUCUGAUAUGGUGCCCAAGCUCAGCUGAUGGAAGAUGUCAGUCAACCACAGGCUCCUUUGCUUGGCACUGACCAGAAUUUGAGAAGUUGUGGGUCAUCUUCUUUGCACCCUAGGUCUACUUUGUCAGCUCCACUGAGUUGCAAGAGGCUGCAUGCUAGGCACUGAAGGACAACAAUAGAUCUGGCUCUGUUCCACCCUCCAUGAAGGUCACAUGAGCACAAACCAUUUGCUUGGGGAAAGCCCAGAUGCCAAUGGCCCAAAGAAGAUAAUGCAGUAGCUCACCAAGGCAGCAUCUCCUGUGUUUUUCAAUAUAAAUAAUCUAUGUUUAUUACAGAAAAUAGGCUAAUGCUUUAAAAAGCAAAGGCACUCAUAUCCUUACCACCCAGAGAUGGGUGUUUACAUUUUUAAAUGUGCUCUUGUAGAAUCCAUUCCCAAAUAAGUAUGUAUGUGUUCAUGCAUUUCACAAAAAUAGAAUUAUAGCAUAUAGUUAUAUAUACUGCGCAACACUUAUUUUUUAAUACCUAACAUUCUAUACUUUUAAAAACAUCAAAUCCCCUACUUUGGCACAUUCAGAGUGUUUCCAACUUUGUUAAAAUUUGUAGACACACACAUUUGCAUGGCAUUUAACUCUGGAAGAAUAUCUAUUUUAAAAAACACCUGUGAUAAACACCUUUGAACAUGUAUGUUUUCAAUGAUCAUCCUUUCUCUGAUUUUUUUUUCUUUAAAAUAUUCCAAGAGGUAGAAUUACAAAUGCACGUUUUUAAAGCCACUGAGACUUAUCCUCCAACUGCAAUGCAUUUUUCUUCCAGGGGAGCCCCUCUCUUAGUGGGGUGGCAUGCAGGAUGCCCAGAAUUGAAUGUUAAGGGGAAUGCAAAUCCCAACUGCCAAGAAGCCGAUGGGAGAUAAAUCGGAACACUUUCAAAAGCAUUAAGGUGAUUAUUGCUUAGUACCCAAAAAUCUUUCAGCAAUUUCCUAUAAAAUAUUCCUUCAUGUCAGACCCAUAAUCACCUUUUCAAAAUUGUGCCGUGGAGAGUCGUCGAUGUGUGUUCCGUGCACAGGGCAUAAAUCUCUCAGAUCCUCACUGCAACCUGCAGAGGCUCGCCUCCCACAGGAGCAGGGCUACUCCAGGGCCAGCCAGGGCAGCUGAAAAACAUAUGUUCUGGUCUUCCACUCUCACCUCGUCUCCCACACUCUCCCCCAGCUUCCUUCUACCUUUGGGCUUGCACAUUUCUCCUUGACAACUGCUUUCAGGAAAAAAUAUUUCUAAGCUGCUUGCCUAUGUAAAUCUGUCUUUCAAAACAGUACCCACCAUCAAACCUAAACCCACAAAAUGCUGUGCUCAUUGGCGGCCAAAGGAGAAUGCCAGGAUGACCAAUGUAGUGGGGAUUUGGCGAGUGGCAACACAGGGCCCAGAGCCUUUCUGACCUGAGUCAUUGGCCCAGAGGAGUGAAAUGCAGUCGCUUUGCCCUUCCUGGUCACACACACAAAUGGGGACCAUGUAGCAGGUGGAUCAGGCAAGUGUAAUCCCCCAAGAAUUGGCAUAAAAUGUGACAUGAGAGAGGAAUCUUUCUCAGGUUCUAGGGUGUUCACUUGCCACUUUUUACCUCACUAGGAAAAAAGUCAUCCCUCUAAGUACAAAUAGCUUUGUGGCCCCACACCAAGGAGGCUAGCUCGUCCCAAAGCUGCCAAGGGUCUACAUUCAUGCCUCCUAGCAUCCUCUACAUGAAGCCAGGCUUGGCUGCCCUCGCUGAUGUUACCCAACCCUAGCUUGUGCACAUAUGACCUGUGCUGACAUCACAGUCCAUGAAAGAGCUGUGUUGUUAUUUCCACAGUGGUCUUGCAGCCAAUGCCAAGUGACCCUCAAGCACCCAAAAUGCAUCCUGAGACCUGGCAUAAGAGGGCUAAUUAAAGUCUAUGUCUGGAAUUCCCACUGUGGCUCACCAAGUUAAAGGACCCAACAUUGUCUCUGUGAGGAUGCAGGUUCCAUCCCUGACCUCACUCAGUGGGAUCCUACACUGCAAAGUGCAGUGUAGGUUGUAGAUGCAGCUCAGAUGUGGUAUUACCAUGGCUGUGGCAUGGGUCGCAGCUGCAGCUCCAACUCAACCCCUAUCCCAGGAACUUUCAUGUGCCGCAGGUGCAGCCUUAAAAAGAAAUAAAUUAAUUAAAAAACUAAAGGCCAUGUCUGUGUGAGACCUGGAGUAUUGAGGCAAGAUUCCUAGUGCUGGUACAAUGGCCACUGCCUAUAGUCAUUCUGAGUUCACUGCCAUCCUUAGAUGUUAGAGUUCAGGGGCAGUUGCUAGGGGGAGGGGAAAACUGAUAAGGACUUGGAAAGGUCUGUAAGUGUGCAUGGCAGCUAUGCAAAGCUAGCCCUUUCCUGGAAGUCAGGGAGGUAGGCAGGUCUAGGGGCUCUGGAGGCUAAGAAAAUAGACCCCUGGUGAAUGGGUAUCUUUCUCCAACCAGGCUCUCAGGAAGAGGUGAAUGCUUUUAUCUCUGCUUAGCAGCUCCAGAAUGAUGACAAGUUUAUCAUCUGGUUCCCCACACUCAGAACAGUCUCAGUCCCUAAUCACCAUCUCCUGAGAGCCUGCAACCUACUGCUGGGUAGACAGCAGUGAUAAUAAUGCCACCAAUAACAGCAUCUGUGGUGUGUGGAGGACUACAUGUCACCAUACACUUCUUGGUAAAUAAAAUUGUACCCAGUUUUACUUAAUCUUAACAUCUUUGCAAAUCUGGUAUUAUUAUUCCUCCUUUUAUAAACAAUUACCCUGAGGCUCAGGGAGGCUACACUAAUUGCCCAGGUCAAAGAGCUGGUAAAUGGCAGAGUGAGGUUUGAGAUCUUAUCUGUCUGACUUUGAAAUACCUGGGUUUUAUUGUUGUUGUUGUUGUCGUUGUUGUUGUUGUUGUUUUGGGUGCAACCGCAGUAUGUAGAAAUUCCCAGGCCCGGAUCAAAACUGGGCCACGGUAGUGACAAUACCCAGUCCUUAACCACUAGGCCAUCAGGAAACCACCUUCAAAUAUGUGCUCUUAACCUCUGUACCAGGCACCCAUCUGCUCACUCAGAACCAGGCAUGUACUAAGAAGAAGGCAAACAUGUUCACAAGUUAUUCCCAUUGGCAGCUCACCCAGAUCCAAUCUCCAGAAGGUUACUGGACCACAACAUUUGAAUGCUGCCCCCAAACCCACACCACCACCCAAAAUGGCCCCAAACAAAAUCAUCCUCUUUCAUCCAAACGUUUCUUCAGUUCUGACAAUUAUCCAUAUCAACCAGUGAAACUACCAAGUCAUAUUUAUCUGACUCCUCUUCCUUAUCUCCAUGUAAUCAAAUAAGUCUUGUCUUUUCUUCUUCAAAAUGGUUCUUCAAGCCAGAUGAUCAUUAUUUUCUCAUUCCAACUGCCUGGGACUCUGUGCUCCUUGCCUCUAGCCUCUAGCCCCUCUCAUCUAUUCUGACUAGAUUUCCUUCAGCGGCACCUCUGCAUUUCUUCCCCUACACCUACAGUCUCAAGGCUAAAUUCUUUAGAGCAUACAUCAAGGUCCUCUGUCACUAGCCCCAUCCUACCUUCCAAUACUCUCAGAUUGAAAUGAGAUCACCUCCUUCAAUCCCCUUACCAACAUAACCCACCUGUCAGUCUGUACCAGUCCAACCCAAACCACCAGACAAGCACCAUUCUGGUGACCACACAAAUUUAAAAUUACUGCAUUUCCCAGAGAACCAGUGUAUACGACCCGGUCAAUAUAUCCAUUUC
rnacentral:lncRNA from 1 species